AUAGUUUACUGUGAUUUGAAGACAUGUUAGUAAGAUUCGACGAUCACAUUUUAUUGAUUGACUUCGAUCUCUCACAAAAAGACGAUAAUUCCACAUCAACGAUUCAUAUAAUUUCUAAUCAAAAUGCAUCACUAAUCGCAAAAACAAGUUGUUACCCUGAUGAUCAACCCAACUUUUCUAAUUCAUCAUGCAUUCUACCCAAUUAUAUAGUUUAUCCGGGGUUGUAUAAUUAAUUAUCAUGAAUAAGCCCC
rnacentral:lncRNA from 1 species